UACGUAGGGGGCGAGCGUUAUCCGGAAUUACUGGGCGUAAAGCGCACGCAGGCGGUUCGCCAAGUUUGGAGUGACAGUUGUCGGCUCAACCGACAAAGGACUUCAAAAACUGGCGAACUUGAGGACGAGAGAGGAACAUGGAACUCCAGGUGUAGUAGUGAAAUGCGUAGAUAUCUGGAAGAACACCAAUGGCGAAGGCAAUGUUCUGGCUCGUUUCUGACGCUCAGGUGCGAAAGCCAGGGGGGCGAACGGG
rnacentral:rRNA from 1 species